UGGUACUUAGUUUAAACAAAACAAAUGAUUUCGACUCAUUAAAUUAUGAAUA
rnacentral:tRNA from 1 species